AACGAACGCUGGCGGCAGGCUUAACACAUGCAAGUCGAGCGCCCUGCUUGCAGGGAGCGGCAGACGGGUGAGUAACACGUGGGAACCUACCCAUCUCUACGGAACAACUCCGGGAAACUGGAGCUAAUACCGUAUACGUCCUUCGGGAGAAAGAUUUAUCGGAGAUGGAUGGGCCCGCGCCGGAUUAGCUAGUUGGUGGGGUAAAGGCCUACCAAGGCGACGAUCCGUAGCUGGUCUGAGAGGAUGAUCAGCCACACUGGGACUGAGACACGGCCCAGACUCCUACGGGAGGCAGCAGUGGGGAAUAUUGGACAAUGGGCGCAAGCCUGAUCCAGCCAUGCCGCGUGAGUGAUGAAGGCCCUAGGGUUGUAAAGCUCUUUCACCGGUGAAGAUAAUGACGGUAACCGGAGAAGAAGCCCCGGCUAACUUCGUGCCAGCCGCCGCCGUAACAC
rnacentral:rRNA from 1 species